CUAUGGUUAAGGUUAACUAUGGCGGAAGGAG
rnacentral:ncRNA from 1 species